rnacentral:rRNA from 1 species
UACGUAGGGUCCGAGCGUUGUCCGGAAUUACUGGGCGUAAAGAGCUCGUAGGUGGUUUGUCGCGUUGUUCGUGAAAACUCACAGCUUAACUGUGGGCGUGCGGGCGAUACGGGCAGACUAGAGUACUGCAGGGGAGACUGGAAUUCCUGGUGUAGCGGUGGAAUGCGCAGAUAUCAGGAGGAACACCGGUGGCGAAGGCGGGUCUCUGGUCCAGUACUGACACUCAAGUGCGAAAGCGUGGGGAGCAAACAGG